AUUGAACGCUGGCGGCAGGCUUAACACAUGCAAGUCGAGCGGGGUGAUGGUGCUUGCACUAUCACUUAGCGGCGGACGGGUGAGUAAUGCUUAGGAAUCUGCCUAUUAGUGGGGGACAACAUCUCGAAAGGGAUGCUAAUACCGCAUACGCCCUACGGGAGAAAGCAGGGGAUCACUUGUGACCUUGCGCUAAUAGAUGAGCCUAAGUCGGAUUAGCUAGUUGGUGGGGUAAAGGCCUACCAAGGCGACGAUCUGUAGCGUGUCUGAGAGGAUGAUCCGCCACACUGGGACGGAGACACGGCCCAGACUCCUACGGGAGGCAGCAGUGGGAAAUAUUGGACAAUGGGGGGAACCCUGAUCCAGCCAUGCCGCGUGUGUGAAGAAGGCCUUAUGGUUGUAAAGCACUUUAAGCGAGGAGGAGGCUCUUUUGGUUAAUACCCAGAAUGAGUGGACGUUACUCGCAGAAUAAGCACCGGCUAACUCUGUGCCAGCCGCCGCGGUAA
rnacentral:rRNA from 1 species